rnacentral:rRNA from 1 species
UACGCAGCGUGCACGCGUUGCUCGGAAUUACUGGGCGUAAAGCGCGUGUAGGCGGUCUCGUGUGUCCGGCGUGAAAGCCCCGGGCUCACCCCGGGAAGUGCGUUGGAAACUGCGAGACUAGAGUUCCGGAGAGGAAGGUGGAAUUCCAGGUGUAGCGGUGAAAUGCGUAGAUAUCUGGUAGAACACCGGUGGCGAAGGCGGCCUUCUGGACGGUGACUGACGCUGAGACGUGAAAGCGUGGGGAGCAAACAGG